rnacentral:RNase_P_RNA from 1 species
AGACGCGGCAAGGCGGCCGCGGGCGCCGGAUGUUCCGGCGUCUGAGGAAAGUCCGAGCACGAAAGGACACGCUGGUGGGUAACGCCCACCCGAUCGGCGACGGAGCAAUUCGGAGCCCGGUCGAGGGAAAGUGCCACAGAGAUUGAACCGCCGAUGGCCGCUCUCGCUCGUCGAGAGCGGAUCAGGCAAGGGUGAAAAGGUGCGGUAAGAGCGCACCGGCCGGCUCGUGAGGGCCGGCGCAUGGCAAACCCCAGCGCGUGCAAGGUCACGCAGUUCCCGCUUCCGAAAGGAAGGCGUUCUGUCCGGACGCGAGGCAACUCCGGAAACGGGUGGACCGCUCGAGCCACGCGGCAACGCGCGGCCCAGAGAAAUGGUCGCCACGGCCAGAAGGUGCGCUGGGCUCCCGUCAAGGAUCGAGCGCAAACCACCGGCCGGACAGAACUCGGCUUACCGCCGCGUCGGGCC